GAUGAACGCUGGCGGCGUGCCUAAUACAUGCAAGUCGAGCGAACAGACGAGGAGCUUGCUCCUCAACGUUAGCGGCGGACGGGUGAGUAACACGUGGAUAACCUACCUAUAAGACUGGGAUAACUUCGGGAAACCGGAGCUAAUACCGGAUAAUAUAUUGAACCGCAUGGUUCAAUAGUGAAAGACGGUUUUGCUGUCACUUAUAGAUGGAUCCGCGCCGCAUUAGCUAGUUGGUAAGGUAACGGCUUACCAAGGCAACGAUGCGUAGCCGACCUGAGAGGGUGAUCGGCCACACUGGAACUGAGACACGGUCCAGACUCCUACGGGAGGCAGCAGUAGGGAAUCUUCCGCAAUGGGCGAAAGCCUGACGGAGCAACGCCGCGUGAGUGAUGAAGGUCUUCGGAUCGUAAAACUCUGUUAUUAGGGAAGAACAAAUGUGUAAGUAACUAUGCACGUCUUGACGGUACCUAAUCAGAAAGCCACGGCUAACUACGUG
rnacentral:rRNA from 1 species